CGGACGGGUGAGUAACGCGUGGAUAACCUGCCUCAUACAGGGGGAUAACAGUUAGAAAUGACUGCUAAUACCGCAUAAGCGCACAGGACCGCAUGGUCCGGUGUGAAAAACUCCGGUGGUAUGGGAUGGAUCCGCGUCUGAUUAGCUGGUUGGUGAGGUGACGGCCCACCAAGGCGACGAUCAGUAGCCGACCUGAGAGGGUGGCCGGCCACAUUGGGACUGAGACACGGCCCAAACUCCUACGGGAGGCAGCAG
rnacentral:rRNA from 1 species